UACUGUAGCCAUAUCACAUGCGGUUAUCCAUCUGAAUCUAAGCAGGUUUGCGCCUGGCCAGUACUUAGCUGGUCUCUUAUCUAUGAAAGCUGGGUUGCUGCAGGAA
rnacentral:rRNA from 1 species